UUUUUUUUUUCUCUGUUUAUUUACACACACAAUUCUUCCAAGUUUCAUGAUUUUUUCCUUAUAGUUGCAAACUGAAAUUCACAUAUUGACAGAUAUCUCCGAAUUUAGGAUUUGAUACGUAAUGGGCUCACAUGCAUUUAUAUCUGACACGUCUCUGGAGUCUACAAACAUUGGUACCAUUAUCUACAUUCCUCCCCCAAAUUCUUAAAUAUGCUAGCUCCAUGUUGAGAUAAAAAGAUUAGGGCCGCUGUCAGAAAGCACCCAACGCUGAGGGAUGUUCGUCAGGAUUCAUUUUAAAGCGCUAAUUCCCAGCCGAAGAUUCGUAUUAAGGCUCAUGAAUUUCUAAAAAAGCGAUAGGCCUUCAUUUGGAAUGAUGAAGACGGCCUGCGUUUUCUCAGUUCUGCACGCUCUAAAGUUUUAGAAAGAUGCUCUUUGGAGGCGACUGACUGGGUUUCUCUUUGGUCCCCAAAUGACAUAAAGCUGAUAAUUUUCGUUUUGAAAAUGCUGCCUCAGAAAAGAGGUGCAAAAGCAUGGCUGCGGGGAAAGUAGCCUAGAUCCAGCCACUCCGCCCUGGGCUCCUGAAGCUACGUGAAAACGAAGAGCAAGCCUUCGAGCAAGCCAAAUCCUGAGGUGAUUAUGCUUGUUCCAGGCCUACGGGGAACGGAGGGUGGAGAAAAGAGACGCUCUGUGGUUCCCUGGCUGCAGCCGCCAUCUUUCAGGGUGGGCUGCGCACGCUCUCGGCCCUGGGCCCGCGAGCACGAGCGGAGAAGACGUGGAAGCCCUGAAAACCCAGAGCGAGGCCACAAAGAGAAAACGCGCCUGCGCUUGGGCGACAGUAGUGGAGGGACGGGGCCAGAGACGAACGCGCGUGCGCAGUGAGAGCCCGCCAAGCACCUGGAGGAGGAGGGGGGCGAGGUACCUAGGCGUGAGGAUGAAAGGCGCACGCGCAAAAGCGCGACUGUGCGGGGAGUGGGAGGGAUCCAGAGGAGGCUCGCGGAGGCAGGACUAGCGCAGAUCUCGCGAGAUCUCCUGCGACCAUAUAUACGUGCGGAGAGCCCGCGUCCUUUCCUUGGCGUGAUUCCGUCCUGCGCGUCUGUUCUGUGGAACAGGAGGCAGUUGUUUUCCGUCCGGCUUCUCCCACACCGAAGUGCGCGCCUCCACCUCAUGGAAGACUCGAUGGAUAUGGACAUGAGUCCUCUUAGGCCUCAGAACUACCUUUUCGGCUGUGAACUAAAGGCUGACAAAGACUAUCACUUUAAAGUGGAUAAUGAUGAAAAUGAGCACCAGUUGUCAUUAAGAACGGUCAGUUUAGGAGCAGGGGCAAAAGAUGAGUUACACAUCGUAGAGGCAGAAGCAAUGAACUAUGAAGGCAGUCCAAUUAAAGUAACACUGGCAACUUUGAAAAUGUCUGUACAACCAACAGUUUCCCUAGGGGGCUUUGAAAUUACACCACCUGUGGUCUUACGGUUGAAGUGUGGUUCAGGGCCUGUGCACAUUAGUGGACAGCAUCUAGUAGCUGUAGAGGAAGAUGCAGAGUCUGAAGAUGAAGAUGAGGAGGACGUAAAACUCUUAGGCAUGUCUGGAAAGCGAUCUGCUCCUGGAGGUGGUAACAAGGUUCCACAGAAAAAAGUAAAACUUGAUGAAGAUGAUGAGGACGAUGAUGAGGACGAUGAGGAUGAUGAGGAUGAUGAUGAUGAUGAUUUUGAUGAAGAGGAAACUGAAGAAAAGGUCCCAGUGAAGAAAUCUGUACGAGAUACCCCAGCCAAAAAUGCACAAAAAUCAAACCAAAAUGGAAAAGACUUAAAACCAUCAACACCGAGAUCAAAGGGUCAAGAGUCCUUCAAAAAACAGGAAAAGACUCCUAAAACACCAAAAGGACCUAGUUCUGUAGAAGACAUUAAGGCAAAAAUGCAAGCAAGUAUAGAAAAAGCGCAUUGAACAUUCCUGGGCACUACUGGUAAAUUAAGCCCAAAGAUGGGGAAAGAGGAAAAGGAGAAACAAAUAUAGUACCAUCAACAAUCCAGACAUCUCAAUCCCCUUUCCUGAUUGGCCAUCCAUUCCCCCUUGCAGGCUGGAAGCAAUCUUGUUUUUCCUAAAGCAUUUUUCUUUUACUUUUGUGAUGCAGAAAACUACUUCUCUACCACUUGUGCAUAUGCCUCAUUUCUUUGACCAUGUUUUAACCUUUGUAUCCUUAGCUACUCUCAAUAAAUUUUUAAAUGAAUCAAUAAGGAUGUAUGUGACAAUAUUUUCAAAUUACCGUAGUGAAUUAUUUUCUAGGUGAUGAAGGCAAUUGAGUACCUUAAUACUCAAGGUGAUUCUGGAAUUUGGAAGCCUUAGUCUUGCUAAGUGCAUAGAAAUGCAAAAAGGUUAAAAUUUAGAGAAGUGGAUUUUAUAUGAAAUAGGGGAUAAUCUGUAGUGACACUUUAUGCUGAUAAGUUAACAUUUGCAUUGCAGUAUCUUAAUUUGUAAGAAUUUUGGCAGCAAAACUUGCUGAUAAUUGUGGUUUAGUCUACAUUCAUAAUUGGAAGCAUGCCAAAUCGAUGCUACAGUUAGUAAUAAGGUACCUACUUUUAAAUCCCUUCAAUUGCGUGCUUUCCUAGGUAAUUGGAAAACACUUAUGAACAGGUCGUAUCUAAUUUGUUUUUUGGUGAUAGGUGAUAACAUGAAUUUGUAUAUUAGGCACCCAAGUGGCUGUACUUGCAUGCCAGUAGAGCCCUCUGUAGUUUAAAUUGGCUGUUUGGAAGGAACUGGGCAUUAAGCAAUAAAAAACCAUGGUCUUUCUGGGUUUGGGCCCAGAGUUGGUUUUUUUUUGUUGUGUUUUGUUUUUCCAAGACAGGGUUUCUCUGGCUGUCCUGGAACUCACUUUUGUAGACCAGGCUAAACUCAGAAAUCCGCCUGCCUCUGCCUCCCAAAUGCUGGGAUUAAAGGCGUGCGCCACCAUGCCUGGCUUUAAUGUUGGUUUUUAAUCAAAUGGGAAUGUUAAAGGGUUAUAGUUUGUGUAAUGGCAUGUAAAACUUUGGAAGUUUUUUCUAAUGAUGUCUCAAACAAUUGCUGUUUGUCCUUAAUAAUGCUUUUUUUCCCCUCAAUAGGGCGGUUCUCUUCCCAAAGUGGAAGCCAAGUUCAUUAAUUAUGUGAAGAAUUGUUUCCGGAUGACUGACCAGGAGGCUAUUCAAGAUCUCUGGCAGUGGAGGAAAUCUCUUUAAGAAAAGGGUUUAAACAGUUUGAAAUAUUCUGUCUUCAUUUCUGUAAUAGUUAAUAUCUGGCUGUCCUUUUUAUAAUGCAAAGUGAGAACUUUCCCUACUGUGUUUGAUAAAUGUUGUCCAGGUUCACUUGCCAAGAAUGUGUUGUCUAAAAUGCCUGUUUAGUUUUCAAGGAUGGAACUCCACCCUUUACUUGGUUUUAAGUAUGUAUGGAAUGUUAUGAUAGGACAUAGUAAUAGUGGUCAGAUGUGGAAAUGGUAGGGAGACAAAUAUACAUGUGAAAUAAACUCAGUAUUUUAAUAAAGUA